rnacentral:rRNA from 1 species
AUUGAACGCUGGCGGCAUGCCUUACACAUGCAAGUCGAACGGUAACAGGUCUUCGGAUGCUGACGAGUGGCGAACGGGUGAGUAAUACAUCGGAACGUGCCCGAUCGUGGGGGAUAACGAAGCGAAAGCUUUGCUAAUGCCGCAUACGAUCUACGGAUGAAAGCAGGGGACCGCAAGGCCUUGCGCGAACGGAGCGGCCGAUGGCAGAUUAGGUAGUUGGUGGGAUAAAAGCUUACCAAGCCGACGAUCUGUAGCUGGUCUGAGAGGACGACCAGCCACACUGGGACUGAGACACGGCCCAGACUCCUACGGGAGGCAGCAGUGGGGAAUUUUGGACAAUGGGCGAAAGCCUGAUCCAGCCAUGCCGCGUGCAGGAUGAAGGCCUUCGGGUUGUAAACUGCUUUUGUACGGAACGAAAAGACUCUGGUUAAUACCUGGGGUCCAUGACGGUACCGUAAGAAUAAGCACCGGCUAACUACGUG